rnacentral:rRNA from 1 species
CUCAAAGGAAUUGACGGUCCCCGCACAAGCAGCGGAGCGUGUGGUUUAAUUCGUUGCUACACGAAGAACCUUACCUGGGUUUGACAUAGCAGUGGUAGGGAAGCGAAAGCAGACCGACCCUUCGGGGAGCUGUUACAGGUGUUGCAUGGCUGUCGUCAGCUCGUGUCGUGAGAUGUUCGGUUAAGUCCGCUAACGAGCGCAACCCGCGUUGUGUGUUACAAGUGUCACACAAUACCGCCGGUAUUAAGUCGGAGGAAGGUGCGGAUGACGUCAAGUCAGCAUGACCUUUAUAUCCAGGGCUACACACACGCUACAAUGGUCAGCACAAUAGGUUGCCAAGUCGUGAGACGGAGCCAAUCCUCCAAAGCUGGCCUCAGUUCAGAUUGUAGGCUGCAACCCGCCUGCAUGAAGUUGGAGUUGCUAGUAACCGCAGGUCAGCUAUACUGCGGUGAAUACGUUCCCGGGGAUU